rnacentral:lncRNA from 1 species
CACAGCCAUCAGGUGCACAAACACAUGAUUGCUAAAUUGUAGACACACCAAUCAGGUUUAAGCGCUGUAAAAAUGCAGCAGGUAGGUUCAUCUGCCUUCAACCAAAAUGAAAGGAGUCAGAAGAAGAGUGAGGGUGAGAGGAGGAGUACACAGAGGAGGAGAAGGAGGUAGAGGAAGAGGAAGAGGCCGCGCCAGAGGUCGAGGAAGACCUGAAGCAGGAGGAGAACGUGCACAAAGAAGAAGAGGACCAAACUUAUCAAAUGACAUUCGUGCAACACUAGUGGACCAUGUUGUGAACCACGGAUUGACGCUGAGGGAGGCUGGACUGAGAGUUCAGCCAAAUCUUAGCAGAUAUACAGUGGCAUCUGUCAUAAGGACUUUUCGACAGGAAAACAGGAUUGAGGGUCGGGAACGACAAGGAGGAAGGGGGCCCAUAUUCAGGUCUCUCAGUCAACACUGGCACGCAUCCUGAAAAGACAUCAGGUUCAAAUGAAACAACUUUAUCGAGUGCCUUUUGAGCGGAAUUCAG